UGUGCACGCUGGAAUCCUCGUUUUCCAAUUGAUCCCAAGGAACGAAGGGGCGCAGAGCGUCCGGGAAGCGGGGCCAGAAAUGAUCCGGACUGGGGUGGUGCAAGCCAUUCCUACCGCUGUGUUCUUCUCUCCGGCUGUGGCUCCUCGAUGCCCUAAACUGCAAGCCUCCGAAAUAAAACAAAAGGGCGAGACAAGAGCCAGCUGAGAGCAGGAUGAAAUAGCGUUUUUUGGCCUGCAUGUGUCCUGCCUGGGUCAAGAGGAUUGUAAAUAAACACAAGAAUCACCCAAGUUUCCCAAUCAACACUUUCAGCUCCAGUCCGCCAUCUUCCCGCCUGUAAAGACUUCAAACUCUCCGCUCCCACCUUCUCUGGAUGCCUUUCCCCAAGCCGUGGACUGAUCCAGCGCAUGUGGGCGAUUUCUUUAACUUUCUCCCCUUCGGUCUUUCAUCUUUGGGUUGCACAAUGCACGGGAGAGAGCGGGGCUGAAUAUCUCGCACCCAGGGCGGGCGAGCAGCGGACUGUAAUUUUCUUGCAUGCAACAAGACGGAGGAAAAGAAAGAGAGAGGGGAGAAAAAAAAAGCUCCCGAUACCCAAUCAAUGGCAAGACGAAGUGAUUGCCUUGCCUCUCGGAUUCCUCUCGGCAGCGUGGAAAAUGAGCCCCGGGAAGGCAACUUCAACUCAUCCACCACUCUCCGUGCAGAGCACUCCGGUUCCAACAAGUCAGCCGAUCCCGGGUUCAGCCGGCUAGUGCAUCUUGCAGCUGGGGCGCCGUAACCUCACAAAUCCCUGCAUCUCUCUUUAUUCCCUUCUGCAGCGGCUCCAAGACUCCGGCGGUGUUUAC
rnacentral:misc_RNA from 1 species